rnacentral:rRNA from 1 species
GACGAACCGAGCAAACGUUAUUCGGAAUCACUGGGCUUAAAGGGCGCGUAGGCGGUCUCGUAAGUCUGCGGUGAAAUCCUCCAGCUCAACUGGAGAACGGCCGUGGAUACUGCGAGUCUCGAGGGAGGUAGGGGCGUGCGGAACAGAUGGUGGAGCGGUGAAAUGCGUAGAUAUCGGAAGGAACACCGGUGGCGAAAGCGGCGCGCUGGAUCUCUUCUGACGCUGAGGCGCGAAAGCCAGGGGAGCAAACGGG